AGAGUUUGAUCCUGGCUCAGGAUGAACGCUAGCUACAGGCUUAACACAUGCAAGUCGAGGGGAAACGACAUCGAAAGCUUGCUUUUGAUGGGCGUCGACCGGCGCACGGGUGAGUAACGCGUAUCCAACCUGCCCAUCACUUGGGGAUAACCUUGUGAAAGUAAGACUAAUACCCAAUGACGUCUCUAGAAGACAUCUGAAAGAGAUUAAAGAUUUAUCGGUGAUGGAUGGGGAUGCGUCUGAUUAGCUUGUUGGCGGGGUAACGGCCACAAGGCGACGAUCAGUAGGGGUUCUGAGAGGAACGGUCCCCCANAUUGGAACUGAGACACGGUCCAAACUCCGUACGGGAGGCA
rnacentral:rRNA from 1 species